rnacentral:rRNA from 1 species
AAGUAACGCUAGCUAUAUGCUUAACACAUGCAAGUCGAACGUUGUUUUCGGGCGCGCUUGUCUCGCCUUGAGAACAAAGUGGCGAACGGGUGCGUAACGCGUGGGAAUCUACCCAUCUCUACGGAAUAACACAGAGAAAUUUGUGCUAAUACCGUAUACGUCCUUAGGGAGAAAGAUUUAUCGGAGAUGGAUGAGCCCGCGUUGGAUUAGCUAGUUGGUAGGGUAAAGGCCUACCAAGGCGACGAUCCAUAGCUGGUCUGAGAGGAUGAUCAGCCACACUGGGACUGAGACACGGCCCAGACUCCUACGGGAGGCAGCAGUGGGGAAUAUUGGACAAUGGGGGCAACCCUGAUCCAGCCAUGCCGCGUGAGUGAUGAAGGCCCUAGGGUUGUAAAGCUCUUUCACCGGUGAAGAUAAUGACGGUAACCGGAGAAGAAGCCCCGGCUAACUUCGUGCCAGCAGCCGCAGUAAGAC